rnacentral:rRNA from 1 species
AGGACGAACGCUGGCGGCGUGCUUAACACAUGCAAGUCGAGCGAGGCCUUCCCUUCGGGGGAGUGCCCUAGCGGCGAACGGGUGAGUAACACGUGGGCAACCUGCCCCUAGCACUGGGAUAACUCCGGGAAACCGGGGCUAAUACCGGAUAUGACCUUUGAGGGCAUCCUCUUUGGUGUAAAGGAUUCUGGCUAGGGAUGGGCCCGCGGCCUAUCAGCUUGUUGGUGGGGUAAUGGCCUACCAAGGCGACGACGGGUAGCCGGCCUGAGAGGGCGACCGGCCACACUGGGACUGAGACACGGCCCAGACUCCUACGGGAGGCAGCAGUGGGGAAUAUUGCACAAUGGGCGAAAGCCUGAUGCAGCGACGCCGCGUGAGGGAUGACGGCCUUCGGGUUGUAACCUCUUUCAGUACCGACGAAGCGAAAGUGACGGUAGGUACAGAAGAAGCACCGGCCAACUACGUGCCAGCAGCCGC